UCAGUCCUCGCCUUUUUCAUCUUCCGUAGGGGCCUUUAGUCUUUUGAUUAGAGUGGAGGUCGCGAGAGAGUAGAGCGUACUGCCCUGCCAUAGUCGCGAGGAUCUUAAUAGUCGGUCGCGACUGUUGUCAUAGUCAACGACGGUUGAAACUUCCAGGAAAAAACUUCGAAUUGGGAGGGCGAUCCUCCCGGUGAAUUGACCGUACCCCAAACCGACACAGGUGAACAAGUAGAGUAUACUAGGGCGCGUCGAGAGAACCAUGUCGAAGGAACUCGGCAAAAUGACCCCGUAACUUCGGGAGAAGGGGUGCUCUCCUAUCUUUUGAUUAGGAAAGCGGCACAU
rnacentral:rRNA from 1 species